rnacentral:tRNA from 2 species
GCCCUUGUAGUAUAGUGGAUAGAACGUGAGGUUGCGGACCUUAAGGCCCGGGUUCGAUUCCCGGCAUGGGCA